GUGGUGGCUCAGUGGUAGAGCACCUGCCUAGCAGGUGCAAGGCUCUGGGUUCGAUUCUCAGCACCACA
rnacentral:tRNA from 1 species